rfam:Gossypium arboreum cultivar AKA8401 contig_35168_1, whole genome shotgun sequence.
GAGAGCACAGUACAAUGAAAGUUGUAAGCUGUGUUCGGGGGAGGAGUUAUUGUCUAUCGUUAGCCUCUACUGUAGAAUCAGUCGAGGGCCUAAGAGGCGGUGGUUUACCUUGU